ACUUUGGCCACCCCCUAGAGUCAGCUCAGCUGGAUCUCCCUGCUUGACAAGGCCAACCGAAAACUGCCUAUGGCCUAGAGGUGGGCUUUGAACAUGUUCUGCACUUCAGCAAGCUCCAGGCCUUGAUCAGCUUGACCCAGGUUCUUCAUCUUUUGUUUUGUUUUAGUUUGUUUGGUACUGGGGAUCCAACUCAGGACUUCAUGAUUGACUGGUACAGCAACCUACUCAUUUUACAAGGCUCCAGGCCAACAUUUCAGGUACCCUUCAGCUCUCAAAGGAGGAGCAGCUACUCCUGAGGUCUCCCGUGGGUCCAUCUUUUCCUGUGAGCCCCUGUGACUCCCCAAGCCUCCCUUUCCUGUUUCAUGACGACACCAAUGAGAAUGGACACCUCCCUUUGCUCCUCUCUGUAGCCCCGUUGCCAAAAUCUGCACAAGAAGUAUAAGAAGGACAGAUGAGGAAAGAAGGAAGGGAAGAACCCAGACGUGUCAAGCUGAGUAGCUUCCCAGCAGCUACGUGUGGUGACAAGAACAACUCACCCCAGAGGCAUAGUCACCAGUGAUCUGCACUCUCUGAAAAUCAGGCACGGUCUCGUAGGUUGGAGACGAAGAAAUGCAUUCAUCAAUAUGGGACA